rnacentral:rRNA from 1 species
UACGAAGGGGGCUAGCGUUGUUCGGAAUCAUUGGGCGUAAAGAGCGUGUAGGCGGUCCGGUAAGUCCGCUGUGAAAGUCGGGGGCUCAACCCUCGAAUGCCGGUGGAUACUGUCGGGCUAGAGUGCGGAAGAGGCGAGUGGAAGUUCCUGGUGUAGCGGUGAAAUGCGCAGAUAUCAGGAGGAACACCUAGUUGCGAAGGCAGCUCGCUGGGACGUUACUGACGCUGAGACGCGAAAGCGUGGGGAGCAAACAGG